GGGAAACGAUGUGGGAAGGCCCAGACAGCCAGGAUGUUGGCUUAGAAGCAGCCAUCAUUUAAAGAAAGCGUAAUAGCUCACUGGUCGAGUCGGCCUGCGCGGAAGAUGUAACGGGGCUAAACCAUGCACCGAAGCUGCGGCAGCGACGCUUAUGCGUUGUUGGGUAGGGGAGCGUUCUGUAAGCCUGCGAAGGUGUGCUGUGAGGCAUGCUGGAGGUAUCAGAAGUGCGAAUGCUGACAUAAGUAACGAUAAAGCGGGUGAAAAGCCCGCUCGCCGGAAGACCAAGGGUUCCUGUCCAACGUUAAUCGGGGCAGGGUGAGUCGACCCCUAAGGCGAGGCCGAAAGGCGUAGUCGAUGGGAAACAGGUUAAUAUUCCUGUACUUGGUAUUACUGCGAAGGGGGGACGGAGAAGGCUAUGUUGGCCGGGCGACGGUUGUCCCGGUUUAAGCGUGUAGGCUGGUUUUCCAGGCAAAUCCGGAAAAUCAAGGCUGAGGCGUGAUGACGAGGCACUACGGUGCUGAAGCAACAAAUGCCCUGCUUCCAGGAAAAGCCUCUAAGCAUCAGGUAACAUCAAAUCGUACCCCAAACCGACACAGGUGGUCAGGUAGAGAAUACCAAGGCGCUUGAGAGAACUCGGGUGAAGGAACUAGGCAAAAUGGUGCCGUAACUUCGGGAGAAGGCACGCUGAUAUGUAGGUGAAGUCCCUUGCGGAUGGAGCUGAAAUCAGUCGAAGAUACCAGCUGGCUGCAACUGUUUAUUAAAAACACAGCACUGUGCAAACACGAAAGUGGACGUAUACGGUGUGACGCCUGCCCGGUGCCGGAAGGUUAAUUGAUGGGGUCAGCGCAAGCGAAGCUCUUGAUCGAAGCCCCGGUAAACGGCGGCCGUAACUAUAACGGUCCUAAGGUAGCGAAAUUCCUUGUCGGGUAAGUUCCGACCUGCACGAAUGGCGUAAUGAUGGCCAGGCUGUCUCCACCCGAGACUCAGUGAAAUUGAACUCGCUGUGAAGAUGCAGUGUACCCGCGGCAAGACGGAAAGACCCCGUGAACCUUUACUAUAGCUUGACACUGAACAUUGAGCCUUGAUGUGUAGGAUAGGUGGGAGGCUUUGAAGUGUGGACGCCAGUCUGCAUGGAGCCGGCCUUGAAAUACCACCCUUUAAUGUUUGAUGUUCUAACGUGGACCCGUGAUCCGGGUUGCGGACAGUGUCUGGUGGGUAGUUUGACUGGGGCGGUCUCCUCCUAAAGAGUAACGGAGGAGCACGAAGGUUGGCUAAUCCUGGUCGGACAUCAGGAGGUUAGUGCAAUGGCAUAAGCCAGCUUGACUGCGAGCGUGACGGCGCGAGCAGGUGCGAAAGCAGGUCAUAGUGAUCCGGUGGUUCUGAAUGGAAGGGCCAUCGCUCAACGGAUAAAAGGUACUCCGGGGAUAACAGGCUGAUACCGCCCAAGAGUUCAUAUCGACGGCGGUGUUUGGCACCUCGAUGUCGGCUCAUCACAUCCUGGGGCUGAAGUAGGUCCCAAGGGUAUGGCUGUUCGCCAUUUAAAGUGGUACGCGAGCUGGGUUUAGAACGUCGUGAGACAGUUCGGUCCCUAUCUGCCGUGGGCGCUGGAGAACUGAGGGGGGCUGCUCCUAGUACGAGAGGACCGGAGUGGACGCAUCACUGGUGUUCGGGUUGUCAUGCCAAUGGCACUGCCCGGUAGCUAAAUGCGGAAGAGAUAAGUGCUGAAAGCAUCUAAGCACGAAACUUGCCCCGAGAUGAGUUCUCCCUGACCCUUUAAGGGUCCUGAAGGAACGUUGAAGACGACGACGUUGAUAGGCCGGGUGUGUAAGCGCAGCGAUGCGUUGAGCUAACCGGUACUAAUGAACCGUGAGGCUUAACCUU
rnacentral:rRNA from 1 species